GGAAAGAGGAAACUUGGAACAGCGGCGGACGGGUGAGUAAUACAUGAGCAACCUGCCUUGGACAGAGGGAUAGCCGUGGGAAACCGCGAUUAAUACCUCAUAAGACCCCACUAUCGCAUGAUAGAGAGGUCAAAGAUUUAUCGGUCCAAGAUGGACUCAUGACCCAUUAGCUAGUUGGUGAGAUAACAGCCCACCAAGGCGACGAUGGGUAGCCGGCUUGAGAGAGUGACCGGCCACAUUGGAACUGAGACACGGUCCAGACUCCUACGGGAGGCAGCAG
rnacentral:rRNA from 3 species